CAGGAUGUAUGGACAGGAUGUACGGACAGGAGGUACGGACAGGAUGUACGGACAGGAUGUACGGACAGGAUGUAUGGACAGGAGGUAUGGACAGGAGGUAUGGACAGGAUGUAUGGACAGGAUGUAUGGACAGGAUGUAUGGACAGGAGGUAUACACAGGAUGUAUGGACAGGAGGUAUGGACAGGAUGUAUGGACAGGAUGUAUGGACAGGAGGUAUGGACAGGAUGUAUGGACAGGAUGUAUGGACAGGAUGUAUGGACAGGAGGUAUGGACAGGAGGUAUGGACAGGAUGUAUGGACAGGAGGUAUGGACAGGAUGUGUAGGGCCCAUCAGUAACGGGCAU
ensembl:lncRNA